UUGGGAAUAUUGGACAAUGGGCGAAAGCCUGAUCCAGCAAUGCCGCGUGAAUGAUGAAGGCCUUCGGGUCGUAAAGUUCUUUCAGCAGGGACGAAGGGAAACUUGACGGUACCUGCAGAAGAAGCACCGGCUAACUCCGUGCCAGCAGCCGCGGUAAUACGGAGGGUGCAAGCGUUGUUCGGAAUCAUUGGGCGUAAAGCGCGUGUAGGCGGUAACUUAAGUCUGGUGUGAAAGCCCAGGGCUUAACCCUGGAAGUGCAUUGGAUACUGAGCUACUAGAGGGCAGAAGAGGAAAGCGGAAUUCCUGGUGUAGGAGUGAAAUCCGUAGAUAUCAGGAGGAACACCGGUGGCGAAGGCGGCUUUCUGGUCUGUGCCUGACGCUGAGACGCGAAAGCGUGGGGAGCAAACAGG
rnacentral:rRNA from 1 species